GUAGGUGGCAAGCGUUGUCCGGAAUUAUUGGGCGUAAAGCGCGCGCAGGUGGUUCUUUAAGUCUGAUGUGAAAGCCCCCGGGCUCAACCGGGGAGGGUCAUUGGAAACUGGGGAACUUGAGUGCAGGAGAGGAAAGUGGAAUUCCACGUGUAGCGGUGAAAUGCGUAGAUAUGUGGAGGAACGCCAGUGGCGAAGGCGACUUUCUGGCCUGUAACUGACACUGAGGCGCGAAAGCGUGGGGAGCAAACAGGAUUAGAUACCCUGGUAGUCCACGCCGUAAACGAUGAGUGCUAAGUGUUGGGGGGUUUCCGCCCCUCAGUGCUGCAGCUAACGCAUUAAGCACUCCGCCUGGGGAGUACGGUCGCAAAGACUG
rnacentral:rRNA from 1 species